AGAGGGGCAUAGCUCAGUGGUAGGGCAUCUGGUUUGCAUGUAGCAGGUCCCAGGUUCAAUCCCCGGGCUCUCCA